rnacentral:ncRNA from 1 species
GUUGGAGUUACGCGGAUUGUAGUUGAUGAAAGCAUAGCCUCGGGAUUGGUCGAUGGCAUGGAACAACGGGUUCCAGUCGAAAAGUUUCAGCAUCGCUGGCGGCAGGGUGUUGGCCACGAACAUCUUGCCCGAAGCAAUCAUGUUGGCGCGUUG